UAGCGUAAUCACUUGUCCCCUAAAUAGUGACUAGUAUGAACGGCCACACGAGAAUAAACCUGUCUCUUUUAACAAAUCAGUGAAACUGAUCUCCCAGUACAAAAGCUGGGACACCAACAUAAGACGAAAAGACCCUGUGGAGCUUAAAUACUACCCUACCCCCCCCCUAGUUUAAGUAUUUCAGUUGGGGCAACUUCGGAAUCAAACUAAACUUCCGACCAAACUCCGGAAACACCGCUAUUAUAGACUAACACGUCAAACCCUUGAAUAAGACCCAGUAAUUCACUGACCAACGAACCAAGUUACCCCAGGGAUAACAGCGCCAUCUUCUUCUAGAGCCCCCAUCGACAAGAAGGUUUACGACCUCGAUGUUGGAUCAGGACACCCCAAUAGCGCAGCCGCUAUUAAAGGUUCGUUUGUUCAACGAUUAAAGCCCUACGUGAUCUGAGU
rnacentral:rRNA from 1 species